GGGUGAUUUGGCUUUGACAUCUGCUGUCUGACUGAUCAGCAGAGAUCAUGGAAUUAUACCUUCUCUCUGUUGCCAUUCCAUAUAUAUCCCUUCCAAAGAUGAGAGCUCCGUGAAAGAGGAUAAUCCUUUCAGACAAAAGAGGAACAUUUUUUAAUCGCAGGGAUACAGAUAACUGCGCUGUCCCCUAAAAUCUUCAAACAAAACAAAUUUGGGUCUUGAUAAAGAAAUUUGUACUCUUUUUUUGAGAGUCUAAAAUACUAAAGUCUUAUUA
rnacentral:sRNA from 1 species